rnacentral:rRNA from 1 species
ACUCCUACGGGAGGCAGCAGUAGCGAAUCUUCGGCAAUGGACGAAAGUCUGACCGAGCAACGCCGCGUGAGUGAAGAAGGUGUUCGGAUCGUAAACUCUGUUGUUAGAGAAGAACAAGGAUGAGAGUAACUGUCAUCCAUGACG